GGCAAGAUGGCCGAGCGGUCUAAGGCGCCACGUUAAGGAGUUCCAAUCCUUAAUCCAGGGUGUGGCUUAUAUCACACCACAUGAUUCCGUGGUCCGAAAGGGCGUGGGUUCGAAUCCCACUCUUGUCA